ensembl:lncRNA
CUGGGCAUACAGUGCCUCGAUUUUCUCCAGAACAUGCAGGACAAGAGCAUGAGAAUCAGCAAGAAGGGAUCUCCCAAGGUUUCGUGCCAAAAUCUUUCUACCUGAUGGAUUUUACGGUGCCACAGACAACACUGCCUGCUGAGCUCUCAAGGCUUUAACUGUGAAUUGCUGAAUAUUUGUUUAAAAAUGAAGACAUUACAGUGCCUCACUUAUAAAGAUCUAUAAGGUGGAUGUCUCUGCUCUCCUGGAAGAGCUUUUCCUCUGCUUCCUUUCCUCCAGGCUUCUCUGUAGCUCAGAAGGCCCUUUGCUAUUUAGAGGACAGCACUUUCUGGAUGUAUGGGGAGACUUCUGAUGGCUAUCUGCUCGAUGGCUGACUUGUGGGGCUGAACAGAAGUGACCACGGAUGAUGGGAGAUAGGAUGAAGUUGUUUCUGACUCACGAGGAAUGAUGUGAAGUGAGUCCUUCCGAAGCUCCAUGCUGGCAUUGCCCAGCCUACGUGGUAAGCACAGGUCGAGAAGGGACUGAAACAUUUUCAUUUUCAAGACCUGGAAGCGAAAGGCUGAGAUAUAGUUGUAACAGAAUUCCCGAGAUUGAUAUUCGCCGAUCAUUUGAGAAAAAAAUAUUUUGUAUUAAAUAAUGUCUUUCAUCCCAAAGUCUGUUUCCAUCCCCAGCCUUAGCAAAAUGCCUUUCACUAACAUUACUCAGAGGUGAGAAAGUUUCUGUAUCUUCCCCCUUUGCAACUUGCCUCUUAAACACGGUCUAGUCCAAGACCAUUUCCCAUAUGCUGAAAGCAGCUGAUCUCUUGAAGGCUCAACAAUUUGAGAAAUGUUCCUCAAAAAAGAUCGAAGUCCCACUUCCACUGCUCUUUGUGUCCCUGUGCUGUGUAACACCGCCAUGGGGAAGCAAUCAUAGAAUUGUAAAGGUUGGAAAUGCCUACAAGGGUGCCCACACACCCCGCAGAGCAUCUGCUGCUGAUCAAGUCUGCAAAAUGGGUGACAAGGGUGUUCUAUUCACACAAAGCAAUCCAUCUGCUGAGCUGAUGCACAAUUCAAAGAGAAGCCGAGUCAACAAGGACUGGCGCUGAAUGGAAAGCUUUCCUCUUCAUAACAAUAUGAGUGACUAAUUAACAAUCAAUAAACCCAAUGAAAAUCCACAUUAUGGUCCAUGGAGCAGUGUGCCAAUAGGCAGCUGAUCGUUUGCACUCAUGAAGCACGAAAGCUUAGCCAGGUGCAGACAGUGCGAACCAGUUCAGCCAGAGGAUACAACUGGAGGAGUCACCUUGAGAGCAGAUGGAAACUAACCUAGGACACUUGGACUUCCCCAUACACGUUUCCAUUCUGCAGCCUUCGCAAGCUCAGGAUACAGGACACAGCAAGGAAAUUCAGCCAGCACUUCACGUCUGAGUUCGUUGCCUCUUCUGGAAUGGGAAAUGGAAGAGUAUGGCUCACCAGUCCAAGCACAGGAGGCUCGGGAAGUAAAAAAAAAAUAAAGUGUUUUCCCAGGGAGCUCACUGGGUUACCGCCAUGGGGAUCCAUCUCCUCCUGCCCUUACUCUGAAGGCUUUCUCCAAAAUGCUGAGAUUGUCUCACAAAGAUCUCUGCUGCCCACGUGCUGUUGGAAGGCUGAAGGCAGUGCUGUGUGGCAGUCAUGAGGCAAUGGCUGUCCUUGUCCUACAGCUUCAGACUAGAUAGGGCUGCCUGUGAAACAGCCUAGAGGAUUCCUCAGCAUUCGCAGUGUCAGCAAAAUGAGGACCAAAAUGUGGUGGUAAGAUGGACAAGUACAGAUUUUUGGUGUUUUUACACCUUGUUACAGAAGUGUUUUUACACCCUUUUUGAAAGAAACUGGAUUUUGAUAUUUUCUUUUAACAUGGAAAACAGAUUUGGUGAAAAAUUCCAUUUCAUAAACAGAAAACUUUAAAAAGAUGUUUUGGGUGAACACUUUCAAAGUGAAAGGGAAGAAUUCUCCAUCUCAUCCUUUGUGGGAUGUGCAAUAGGCAGGGAUGGACCAUGACAGCAGUGAGCAGAUGAGAUGGAGACACACAGGAACUGCUGGAGAGGUGACAGCUGGGAAAAACAUGACAUGAACCAAAGCCUCUUGGAGUUCUACUCUGUCCCAUUGCCUCAUUAAAUUAACAGCC